AUUAAGAGAUUGGUUUUUACCUCUACAUAAAAUAUUAUAUUGAACUGGGCGCUGAGGAUGGAAGGCAACACAUGUGGAUCUGGAUUUCGUGGUAUUGCACGCAAAAUUGUGUAUGAUGAAUGCCCAAUUUCUAAUUGAAAAUGAACAGUGCCAGAUGUUUUCUUUAAAGGACUGUAACACUCGGUGUCGUGAACAUUUGAAAGACAAUGUAAAGAGUGUUUCGAAUUGUUGAGGUGAGAAUUUCAAUGGACUUCCCAAAUAUAAUGUGUAGAUAUCGGUAACAUCUCCCAAACAGGUCGUGAGAAAACCAUAUGAGAUACUGAUUCCAAAACAACAAGUGGUCGACCGAAUAGUGAACGAGCUUUUGGAUUUGGACAUUAUCCGUAGUUGUAGUUGCGCCAAAGGCAAAUGUGGAGGAGGACCGAUUAUGUUUGUAUUACCAGGUUUUAAAUAAAGUAACUGAGAAACAGCCAUGGCCAAUGACAACUGUGGAUGACGUUCUGUCGACACUUUCA
rnacentral:sRNA from 1 species